UACGUAGGGGGCAAGCGUUGUCCGGAAUUAUUGGGCGUAAAGAGCUCGUAGGCGGUUUGUUGCGUCGGCUGUGAAAUCCCGAGGCUCAACCUCGGGUCUGCAGUCGAUACGAGCAAACUAGAGUGUUGCAGGGGAGACUGGAAUUCCUGGUGUAGCGGUGAAAUGCAUAGAUAUCUGGAGGAACACCGGUGGCGAAGGCGGCAUCCUGGACCGGCAUUGACGCUGAGGAGCGAAAGCCAGGGGAGCAAACGGG
rnacentral:rRNA from 1 species